CUCGUGAAUUCAUCUCCGGGGGUAGAGCACUGUUUCGGCAAGGGGGUCAUCCCGACUUACCAACCCGAUGCAAACUGCGAAUACCGGAGAAUGUUAUCACGGGAGACACACGGCGGGUGCUAACGUCCGUCGUGAAGAGGGAAACAACCCAGACCGCCAGCUAAGGUCCCAAAGUCAUGGUUAAGUGGGAAACGAUGUGGGAAGGCCCAGACAGCCAGGAUGUUGGCUUAGAAGCAGCCAUCAUUUAAAGAAAGCGUAAUAGCUCACUGGUCGAGUCGGCCUGCGCGGAAGAUGUAACGGGGCUAAACCAUGCACCGAAGCUGCGGCAGCGACACUAUGUGUUGUUGGGUAGGGGAGCGUUCUGUAAGCCUGUGAAGGUGUACUGUGAGGUAUGCUGGAGGUAUCAGAAGUGCGAAUGCUGACAUAAGUAACGAUAAAGCGGGUGAAAAGCCCGCUCGCCGGAAGACCAAGGGUUCCUGUCCAACGUUAAUCGGGGCAGGGU
rnacentral:rRNA from 1 species